rnacentral:tRNA from 1 species
UGAGGUGUAGUGUAAUGGCAGCACUCUUGACUCUGACUCAAGCGAUCCUGGUUCGAGUCCAGGCACCUCAG